UGCUUCUCUUGAGAGCGGCGGACGGGUGAGUAAUGCCUAGGAAUCUGCCUGGUAGUGGGGGAUAACGUCCGGAAACGGACGCUAAUACCGCAUACGUCCUACGGGAGAAAGCAGGGGACCUUCGGGCCUUGCGCUAUCAGAUGAGCCUAGGUCGGAUUAGCUAGUUGGUGGGGUAAUGGCUCACCAAGGCGACGAUCCGUAACUGGUCUGAGAGGAUGAUCAGUCACACUGGAACUGAGACACGGUCCAGACUCCUACGGGAGGCAGCAGUGGGGAAUAUUGGACAAUGGGCGAAAGCCUGAUCCAGCCAUGCCGCGUGUGUGAAGAAGGUCUUCGGAUUGUAAAGCACUUUAAGUUGGGAGGAAGGGCAGUAAAUUAAUACUUUGCUGUUUUGACGUUACCGACAGAAUAAGCACCGGCUAACUCUGUGCCAGCAGCCGCGGUAAUACAGAGGGUGCAAGCGUUAAUCGGAAUUACUGGGCGUAAAGCGCGCGUAGGUGGUUCGUUAAGUUGGAUGUGAAAUCCCCGGGCUCAACCUGGGAACUGCAUUCAAAACUGACGAGCUAGAGUAUGGUAGAGGGUGGUGGAAUUUCCUGUGUAGCGGUGAAAUGCGUA
rnacentral:rRNA from 1 species